rnacentral:siRNA from 1 species
GGCAAGCUAUCAUCUCUAAGGUCC